rnacentral:misc_RNA from 1 species
GCUGCCUACCCGGUAGUCAGCUCCAAUCGCCUCUCACGGCCGCCACGGACCUCGCACGAAGACGGGACCACCUCCAUCGCAUUCGCCGUGGUCGAGAUAGUCGGUAUACGCACUUUUGAAAAAAUGCGUGCAAAAUGGUUUUGUGGUUUGGUGGCCAUGAGUCGAUUUUUUUGUUUUGCCAUACAAAUGAAUUUUGCGGAAAAUAAAAAGUGGCCCACGAGACGGUUCUGGCGUGCGGUCCACUAAAACGGUCUCGGAGGGUAUAUGAGAAGGGAGCAAAUCCGGCCGAGCCUGAAAGGGCGAGGGAAAACCGGACGAGCAACCUCUCGUACCUGAUCUUGCAGACUUCCACUGCGUGUCCCUCUGUACAGCUUUGCAGGCUCCGGCCUCGGCAGCGGGGGGUUCAUAGUGGUCGUCGACCUCCACGAAACUGCACGCUCCGGCGUGACAGCGUACUGGGGAUGCCUGUGUUUACGCAGUCCGGGCUUGCCUGGACCGCCAGCAGAUGGGCUCUGUGGAUGACUGGCCGCUGGCUAGACCUGAAACCUGAGCAACGGGAGGUAACCUCUCGCCGCGGACACCGGAAUGGUAGAAGCGGCGUGCUGCGUCCUCCUCUUGGGGCCCCUAAGCCACACCUCCCACAGCGGGUUCGGUGCGGCGGACGGACGCCCUGGGGAAUUUAGAGGGGGAAAGCGGAUUGCCCUAGCGGUGUUGUUGGCCCUGCCGACCUCACUGCGAAAG